UCUAUACGGAGUUACAAAGGACGACAUUAGACGAAUCAUCUGGAAAGAUGAAUCAAAGAAGGUAAUAAUCCUGUAGUCGAAAAUGUUGUCUCUCUUGAGUGGAUCCUGAGUACGACGGAGCACGUGAAAUUCCGUCGGAAUCAGGGAGGACCAUCUCCUAAGGCUAAAUACUCUCUAGUGACCGAUAGUGAACCAGUACCGUGAGGGAAAGGUGAAAAGCACCCCGGAAGGGGAGUGAAAUAGAACCUGAAACCGUGUGCUUACAAGUAGUCAGAGCCCGUUAAU
rnacentral:rRNA from 1 species